AGUCGAACGAGAGAUGAAGAGCUUGCUCUUCAAAUCGAGUGGCGAACGGGUGAGUAACGCGUGAGGAACCUGCCUCAAAGAGGGGGACAACAGUUGGAAACGACUGCUAAUACCGCAUAAGCCCACGGCUCGGCAUCGAGCAGGGGGAAAAGGAGCAAUCCGCUUUGAGAUGGCCUCGCGUCCGAUUAGCUAGUUGGUGAGGUAACGGCCCACCAAGGCGACGAUCGGUAGCCGGACUGAGAGGUUGAACGGCCACAUUGGGACUGAGACACGGCCCAGACUCCUACGGGAGGCAGCAGUGGGGAAUAUUGCACAAUGGGGGAAACCCUGAUGCAGCGACGCCGCGUGGAGGAAGAAGGUCUUCGGAUUGUAAACUCCUGUUGUUGAGGAAGAUAAUGACGGUACUCAACAAGGAAGUGACGGCUAACUACGUGCCAGCAGCCGCGGUAAAACGUAGGUCACAAGCGUUGUCCGGAAUUACUGGGUGUAAAGGGAGCGCAGGCGGGAGAACAAGUUGGAAGUGAAAUCCAUGGGCUCAACCCAUGAACUGCUUUCAAAACUGUUUUUCUUGAGUAGUGCAGAGGUAGGCGGAAUUCCCGGUGUAGCGGUGGAAUGCGUAGAUAUCGGGAGGAACACCAGUGGCGAAGGCGGCCUACUGGGCACCAACUGACGCUGAGGCUCGAAAGUGUGGGUAGCAAACAGGAUUAGAUACCCUGGUAGUCCACACCGUAAACGAUGAUUACUAGGUGUUGGAGGAUUGACCCCUUCAGUGCCGCAGUUAACACAAUAAGUAAUCCACCUGGGGAGUACGACCGCAAGGUUGAAACUCAAAGGAAUUGACGGGGGCCCGCACAAGCAGUGGA
rnacentral:rRNA from 1 species